AUUAAACUUCAACGUAAUCAAAAAGUACAAAGGCAUCGGCUGGGUUUAUUGGAUUACUCGGGAUCAAUUUAGUUUGAUAUCUUCAAAACGUUUAUAGGAAGGGGUCGUAUGCUCGAACAUUGACGUUUUAAAACGACCCAGAUUUUACAAAGUUGUCAAAAUGUAACUUUCAAAUGUACAGACGACAGUAACGUCGGGCAAUUCUAAAAGGAACGAUGAUCAUAAAAUGAGAUAAAGUUGUUCAAUAACAUCAAGUCUACCUGAUUUUGCCGACAUUUUGGAAUUUACUUCUUUUUACAUCCCGAAAACGGAUUAAGUCAAAAUGAGCAGUAUAAAUUACACAGAGACUUGCUUACCAUCACCCAGGAAGAGAUACUCACCCUACCUGUGUCGGCCGAGGUCCAAUAUUAAGACCCAUCCGUAUCCCAGUAGUCUAAUUAAUCAAGAGGGAGUUCAGUCCUCUUUUAAUUCGGAGGAUUCCUUACACAGCGCUGAUGAAGCGGGGGACCGGAGUGCCUGGGCCGGGGGAGGGGGGCAGGAGUUUGACCAUGACAUUGGUUACUGCUCACACAGUACCUCUAGUAGUUCAUACAAUAUUGAGCAGGCCACAGAGUUGGAAUACUGUCAGUCCUACCAGUUGGGUUGUUCUGAGGUUGGUGGAGAUGGACAGGGACCAGACAAGGCAGAAGACGUUGUACAACAGUUUGGGAAAUUCUUCCAAGGACAAUUCCGUCAAGUGUUUCACCAGUUCCAAUCUUCCAUGCACUGUAUGCUUGAUGAGCAGCAAGAUCAUCUACGUCACAUUAUCAACUUCUUUACCAAGUUCAAUCAGGGUAGUUCUGAAGAUCUUCGAGUUGAGCAGAGUUCUCUCCCUUGUCUUGAAUCUACAAGAGAACAAGAGUCCUCCCUGACCACCGACACAGGGUACAGUCUGGAGGAGAUGGAUGCAUUGCCUCCCUUAGAUGAGAGUGACUAUCCUGAGUUUUACCUAGCACCUGAUGCUCGACCAUCAGGCACUUCUUCAGUGUAUGCCCAGAACACAUUUGGCUGUGAUUUCUUACAAAGUGAACAACAGUCAGGCAUACAGUCCUCUAGUGAAGUUUCAGACUCAUCAAAAGACAGACUCUUACUUCAUGUGUAUUCUUUGACCUGUGGUGUAAACAAUUUACUGAACAGACCCGAGUUCAAAACCUGAUAAACAUUUUAGAAAUAAUGUAUUCAAAAUCACCCAUUGUACAUGUAAUCAUUAAUCUAUGUUUUUCUUAAUUAUUGACUUUAUUAGAAAAAAAGUUCAAUUGUGAAUUUUGAAACUCUUCUGAUGUAUGGUACAAGUGUUAACAGAUUUAAAAUGUCGUGUAAAUAUAAUUUUAUAUAUUAAUUAUCAGAUUGAAAUAUAUUUUUUUUCUUAUUUAUUAAAAUAAUUAUACGUGUAAGUCAGUAUUAAGGAAGGUUUGUAUUCUUUAUUUACAUGCAUAUUGUUCAUUGGUGUUAUGAGCUAUAUUUUUAACAACAUCUAUCUAUAUAUUAAGAAGUAGUUUCAAUAUCUU
rnacentral:sRNA from 1 species